rnacentral:rRNA from 1 species
CGUAGGGUGCAAGCGUUAAUCGGAAUUACUGGGCGUAAAGCGUGCGCAGGCGGUUUGUUAAGUCAGAUGUGAAAUCCCCGGGCUCAACCUGGGAAUGGCAUUUGAGACUGGCAGGCUGGAGUGUGUCAGAGGGGGGUAGAAUUCCACGUGUAGCAGUGAAAUGCGUAGAGAUGUGGAGGAACACCGAUGGCGAAGGCAGCCCCCUGGGAUAACACUGACGCUCAUGCACGAAAGCGUGGGGAGCAAACAGGAUUAGAUACCCUGGUAGUCCACGCCCUAAACGAUGUCAACUAGUUGUCGGGACUUAAUUGUCUUGGUAACGCAGCUAACGCGUGAAGUUGACCGCCUGGGGAGUACGGUCGCAAGAUUA